AUGCUCAUUAACUCGUCCCUCUCCAGCCUCCUAUUAUUCAUCAUGAGCUUAUACAACCUUCCGGAGACUCUUCAUCACGAGAUUGCAACCGUUCAAGGGCGCUUCUUUUGGGCCGGCGAGGGUGAUAAGCAGAAAUACCACAUGGUCAGGUGGUCCGAGAUCUGCAAACCUCGCGACCAGGGCAGCCUUGGGAUCAUGUCCUCCAAACGCAUGAAUAUUGCCCUUCUGACUCGGUGGCUCUGGAGGAUUAGCAACGGAGAUGGUGGCCUGUGGAUAUGCAUUAUUCAGCAGAAAUACCUCUGAGGCUAGCCUCUUGUCUUCUGUCAGCGAUCUGGGGGCUCCCAGUUCUGGCAAUGCAUCAUUCAGCUUCUCCCUGUCCUCCGGAUCGGGAUCUCGAUCGAGAUUGGUUCCAGCACCGCCACGCUGUUCUGGUUCGAUCGCUGGACUGGUGACACGCCCCUGGCGGCCCGCUUCCCGGACAUGUUCUCCAUCGCGGUUGCCCCUCAGAUCUCCAUGGCGACCGCCCUUAUGGACUUAGGGCGGCUUGCGUUCCGAAGGCCUUUUGGUCCUGCUGAGAAUGCGGACUGGCAGGAGUUGCUUGACUGUAUUGCUCUCCAUGAGCCAGAGCUCACGUCUGACGAUGACCGCGCCAGGUGGCGCUUUGAGCCAUCCAGUCAAUUCUCCACCAAAUCUCUCUAUCUGGCCAUCGCCCCCUCGCUCGACCAUGAGGCUCUUUCCUCCAUUUGGGAGAUUCGCCUCCACUUGAAAAUUAGGCUCUUCCUGUGGCAAUGGAUUCACGACCGCCUCCCUUCUAGCGUUGAGGUUCUGAAGCACAAUGGCCCUGGUGAUGGGCAUUGCCCGCUCUGUGGGCCUGAAGAAUAUUCGAACCAUAUCUUCUUCACCUACGUGUCUGCGCAGUUCCUCUGGAGCCGUUUCCGCGAGAUUGUGGGCGGAAGCUGGGACCAUACCAACUUCCCUACUCUCUUUGCCGAACUCCACGCGAUCCCCCUCCCCCUCGUUGCGCCACAUUAG
rnacentral:rRNA from 1 species